rnacentral:rRNA from 1 species
GUAGCAAGGUUAACCGAAUAGGGGAGCCGGAGGGAAACCGAGUCUUAAUUGGGCGUUAAGUUGCAGGGUAUAGACCCGAAACCCGGUGAUCUAGCCAUGGGCAGGUUGAAGGUUGGGUAACACUAACUGGAGGACCGAACCGACUAAUGUUGAAAAAUUAGCGGAUGACCUGUGGCUGGGGGUGAAAGGCCAAUCAAACCGGGAGAUAGCUGGUUCUCCCCGAAAGCUAUUUAGGUAGCGCCUCGUGAAUUCAUCUCCGGGGGUAGAGCA